GCCCCUCGUGCAAUGUAAAAAACGUCCCUUCCCCUUCUCUCAGAAGAGAGGAGUUGGCAACUGACACGAUGCAGAGGCGCAGAAUGAAACCUAUUUAGAACAGAUGUUAGUAUUUUUAAAAAAGUCACGUGAAAUGAGCAGAUGUUCAGAGUGUGCAGAGGCUCGCCGUGCAGCGCACAGCUCUGCAGAGAGAGCUCCGAGCUGUUCGGUUUCCACACCGCGGCCCUGGUUCUGCAACAUUUAAAGCUCCACAUUCACAUAAUCUGAGCAAAUUCGAGAUUGGAGUGGACUAUAAAGGGAAUAUCUCCAGGAAACAACCCGGAUCUGACUGGCUUUUUUAAAGGAGGAGUUUCAGUGAAGGAUGGAGACCCCUCAGUCUACUGAUAGCAACACUUGCAGGUAUACAUGCGGACACUGUGUCCCAUGUGCAGACACAGUGUAAGAGCAUCUGUUGCCAGGAGAUACAUGUCUUCCCCUUCAGACUGCAGUAAGCAGACAUGAUCUGCAUCACCCUGCAUGACGGAUUCUAGGCCAACUGCCCGAAUAGAUGAAUAUCUCCAGGAAGAAGGUCAGACUGGGGACAGUGAACCAUCAAUAAUCCACUAAAGGAGCUACAACUGCGUUAAAGGUUUUACUUUUCUUUCACAUAGAAAGUACCUCUGGUUCAGUGCUUCUCUGUUUCCUCUGAAACCCCCAGUUGGUCGUGGCAGAUUGGAUGUGCUGGAGGUUUCAUCCUGAUAAAGAGGGAUUGCUGCAAAGUCAGUGCAAGCAACUGUCCAAUGUCGCUACCUGCUCAUCCUGGA